rnacentral:rRNA from 1 species
UACAGAGGGCCCGAGCGUUGUUCGGAUUCACUGGGCGUAAAGGGUGCGUAGGCGGUUCUGAAAGUCUGUUGUGAAAUCUCCGGGCCCAACCCGGAAAUGGCAUUAGAAACUACAGGGCUAGAGGCUUGGAGGGGGAACUGGAAUUCUCGGUGUAGCAGUGAAAUGCGUAGAGAUCGAGAGGAACACCAGUGGCGAAGGCGAGUUCCUGGACAAGUCCUGACGCUGAGGCACGAAAGCGUGGGGAGCAAACAGG